rnacentral:lncRNA from 1 species
GAAAGACACAUCAUUUGGACCAAUAUUAGUACACUUUAAAGAUAAGAAAUGAUAUGUUUCAGAUGCGUAUCGGGGCAAACAAUCAAGGCAUCAGAAUUUCUUUAUUUUUCUUAAACUGUAGUUUUUAUCUAGAAAUCAUAUUGAGUUUAAGCUUUUAUACAAAAUCAGAUUUUGAAUUUCAUAAAGAUUUUCAAUAGAGACUUUCAAAAUCAUAAUUUGAGAUAUGUAUCUUCCACAUUGUAGCUCAUCUUAAAUCAUUACUAUUGAAAACACAUAUUUCAAACAUAUAAGAGCAUAUUCAGAAUAUUUAUAUUUAUGUUGAGUUUUGGUAUGAAUUAGAACAUUAUAUACCAAGGUUAGGCAAGUUGAAAGAUAAAACAAAAUCAAUUCAUUUGCCUAAUUAGAGAUAUACUUCUCUUCUCCUUUUUACAAAUUUAUUCAACUUUCAAAUUUCAAAGAUGAUUGUGAAUGACAAAUUUAAAAUUUCUUUUCAAUAAUACCAUAAAAUAACUUUAUAUAGUAUUUCAAACAUUCAAUCAAAUUAUCCAAGCAUGGAGCAUUACAAAAUAUUGAGAAUCCAUAAUUCAGAACAUCAUGCCACAUGCAAAAUAUAUCAUGUGUUAAGUCAUGCAUUAAAAUAUUAAGAAAAAGCAUGUCAAGGAUCAAAAUCAAUUCUUUUCAAAUAA